rnacentral:rRNA from 1 species
UACGGGGGGGGCAAGCGUUGUUCGGAAUUACUGGGCGUAAAGGGCUCGUAGGCGGCCAACUAAGUCGGACGUGAAAUCCCUCGGCUUAACCGGGGAACCGCGUCCGAUACUGGAUGGCUUGAGUUCGGGAGAGGGAUGCGGAAUUCCAGGUGUAGCGGUGAAAUGCGUAGAUAUCUGGAGGAACACCGAUGGCGAAGGCAGCCUCCUGGGCCAGCACUGACGCUCAUGCACGAAAGCGUGAGGAGCAAACAGG